ensembl:snRNA U6 U6 spliceosomal RNA
AUGCUCUCUGGUAGCAUACAUACUAAAAUUGUAAUGGUACAGAGAAGAUCAGCAUGGCCUCUGCACAAGGAUGACAGGCAAAUGUGUGAUGCGUUAUUAUUUUUA